rnacentral:rRNA from 1 species
AACAGACCAACCCUUGAAGGCUUCUGCACCUCUCAGGAUAUUCUAGUCCAACAUCGAGGUCACAAACCUUUUUUUCGAUAAGAGCUCUCAAAAAAGAUUAUGCUGUUAUCCCUACGGUAACUAAUUCUUUUAAUCACAACAAAUCAUGGAUCUAAAUAAAUAUAUUUCAACUAAUAAAAGAAGCUUCUUUUGUUCCUUAGUCGCCCCAACCAAAAUUUUUUCUAAGAAAAAAUGCAACAUGCUUUUCUUAUAUUAGAAAUAACUUUAAAGCACGAUAGGGUCUUCUUGUCCUCUAGGUUCAUUUAGAUUUCUUCAUCUAAAAAAUAAAUUCCAGUAAUUUUCACGGAGACAGAAAAGCCCUUGUCAAACCCUUCAUACUAGCCCUCAAUUAUAGGGCAAAUGAUUAUGCUACCUUUGACGGUCAGAGUACCGCGGCCGUUAAAUAAUU